GCCAUCUUCGCACGGUUCUUCCCUUGGCUUUAGAGCCCCGAAGCGCUCUUUGACUUGAGCUGCUUUGCAUUCUCUCUGUCCUGCCAUCGAGAAAGUUCUGAGCGGCUCAGAAGUAAUACUGACACUAUCAACGGAGGGGGACUGCAGUUUCGCUGGUGGCCCCACAGCCCCCUGCCUCCAGCCAGGGGACAAAGAACAGGAGGGAUCCAGAGAAAAUGAGAGAAUGGAGCUGGGCGCAGUGGUUCACGCCUGUAAUCCCUGCACUUUGGGAGGCCGAGGCAGGCAAAUCACCUGAGGUCAGGAGUUCCAGACCGGCUGGGCAACAUGGUGAAACCCUGUCUCUACUAAAAAUAUGAAAAAAAGUUAGCCAGGCGUCCGCGUGCCUGUAAUUCCAGCUACUCAGGAGACUGAGGCAGGAGAAUCGCUUGAACCUGGG
rnacentral:lncRNA from 10 species